UACGUAGGGUGCAAGCGUUGUCCGGAAUUAUUGGGCGUAAAGAGCUCGUAGGCGGUUUGUCGCGUCUGCUGUGAAAACCCGGGGCUUAACUCCGGGCCUGCAGUGGGUACGGGCAGACUAGAGUGCGGUAGGGGAGACUGGAAUUCCUGGUGUAGCGGUGAAAUGCGCAGAUAUCAGGAGGAACACCGGUGGCGAAGGCGGGUCUCUGGGCCGUAACUGACGCUGAGGAGCGAAAGCGUAGGGAGCAAACAGG
rnacentral:rRNA from 1 species